rnacentral:siRNA from 1 species
GCCAAAGGUAAACUACAAAUCUCCA